AUUGAACGCUGGCGGCAGGCUUAACACAUGCAAGUCGAGCGGGGGAAGGUAGCUUGCUACCGGACCUAGCGGCGGACGGGUGAGUAAUGCUUAGGAAUCUGCCUAUUAGUGGGGGACAACAUCUCGAAAGGGAUGCUAAUACCGCAUACGUCCUACGGGAGAAAGCAGGGGAUCUUCGGACCUUGCGCUAAUAGAUGAGCCUAAGUCGGAUUAGCUAGUUGGUGGGGUAAAGGCCUACCAAGGCGACGAUCUGUAGCGGGUCUGAGAGGAUGAUCCGCCGCACGGGGACUGAGACACGGCCCAGACUCCUACGGGAGGCAGCAGUGGGGAAUAUGGGACAAGGGGGGGAACCCUGAUCCAGCCAUGCCGCGUGUGUGAAGAAGGCCUUAUGGUUGUAAAGCACUUUAAGCGAGGAGGAGGCUACUUUAGUUAAUACCUAGAGAUAGUGGACGUUACUCGCAGAAUAAGCACCGGCUAACUCUGUGCCAGCAGCCGCAGUAA
rnacentral:rRNA from 1 species